CUCCUACGGGAGGCAGCAGUGGGGAAUUUUUGGACAAUGGGGGGCAACCCUGAUCCAGCCCAUGCCCGCGUGCGGGAAGAAGGCCUUCGGUUUGUAAACCGCUUUUUGGUCGGGAAAGAAAAGGUUACCUCUAACAGAGGUGACUGUUGACGGUACCCGGCAGAAUAAGCACCGGCUAACUACGUGCCAGCAGCCGCGGUAAUACGUAGGGUGCGAGCGUUAAUCGGAAUUACUGGGCGUAAAGCGUCCGCAGGCGGUUGGUCAAGUCUGAUGUGAAAGCCCCGGGCUCAACCUGGGAAUGGCAUUGGAAACUGGCUAGCUAGAGUGUGGCAGAGGGGGGUUGGAAUUCCGCGUGUAGCAGUGAAAUGCGUACAGAUGCGGAGGAACCACCGCCCCCUUGGGAUUCCGCCCCAAGUUUAAACUCAAAAGAAUUGACGGGACCCCGCACAACCGGUGAAUGAUUUGGAUUAAUUCAAUGCACCGCGAACACCCUUUACCUACCCUUGACAUGUCCGGAAUCCUUGCUAAAGGGUGGGAGUGCCCGAAAGGAAAUCGGAACCCAGGUGCUGCAUGCCUGUGGUCAGCUCGUGUCGUAAGAUGUUGGGUUAGGUCCCGCAACGAGCGCAACCCUUUGUCCCUAGUUGCUACGCAAGGGCACUCUAAAGAGACUGCCGGUGACAAACCGGAGGAAGGUGGGGAUGACGUCAAGUCCUCAUGGCCCUUAUGGGUAGGGCUUCACACGUCAUACAAUGGCCGGUACAGAGGGUUGCCAACCCGCGAGGGGGAGCCAAUCCCAGAAAGCUGGUCGUAGUCCGGAUCGCAGUCUGCAACUCGACUGCGUGAAGUCGGAAUCGCUAGUAAUCGCGGAUCAGCAUGCCGCGGUGAAUACGUUCCCGGGCCUUGUACACACCGCC
rnacentral:rRNA from 1 species